UACGUAGGCAGCGAGCGUUGUUCGGAAUUACUGGGCGUAAAGAGUGUGUAGGCGGUGCUCUAAGUUCGGUGUGAAAUCUCCUGGCUCAACUGGGAGGGUGCGCCGGAAACUGGAGUGCUUGAGCGUGGGAGAGGAAAGCGGAAUUCCUGGUGUAGCGGUGAAAUGCGUAGAUAUCAGGAGGAACACCUGUGGUGUAGACGGCUUUCUGGACCAUAGCUGACGCUGAUGCACGAAAGCUAGGGGAGCAAACAGG
rnacentral:rRNA from 1 species